rnacentral:rRNA from 1 species
AUUGAACGCUGGCGGCAGGCCUAACACAUGCAAGUCGAACGAGUGGCGGACGGGUGAGUAAUGUCUGGGAACAUGCCCGGUGGAGGGGGAUAACUACUGGAAACGGUAGCUAAUACCGCAUACCAUCAGAUGUGCCCAUAUGGGAUUAGCUAUGUGGUGGGGUAAAGGCUCACCAAGGCGACGAUCCCUAGCUGGUUUGAGAGGAUGACCAGCCACACUGGGACUGAGACACGGCCCAGACUCCUACGGGAGGCAGCAGUGGGGAAUAUUGCACAAUGGGCGCAACCCUGAUGCAGCCAUGCCGCGUGUAUGAAGAAGGCCUUCGGGUUGUAAAGUACUUUCAGCGGGGAGGCGGUACCCGCAGAAGAAGCACCGGCUAACUCCGUGCCAGCAGCCGCGGUAAUAC